CGGUCUAUGAUGACAAACCAAUGUCAUAUAGAGAGAUGAUGACAUAAAUAUCAUGCUCAAUAAGAUCAUGGUGAGGCCC